rnacentral:rRNA from 1 species
AUGGAGUAUCAGCCGCUGGUUUCCGCCCUCGACGCCAGAACCACUCCGGUCACCCUCGACGAAUUGUUCGGACAGAUGAGCAAUUUUGAUCAGAGGGUGGCUCUUUUCCAAGGCGCGGGAGGUGGCUUCAAGUCAUCUGCCAAUGUUGCCACCCGCGGCCGUGGCGGGGGCUCUCGU